rnacentral:misc_RNA from 1 species
UUGAAGUUAUUUAAUUUCCCACUCAGAAUACUUGUUUAAAAACAGAGUUUAAUGGUCCUGCGGCGGGGACACGAGAGCCCUUGUCAAGGGGCCGACGGCGGUGGACCGUAAAGGCGCACCGGCGACCCGCCGAGGCAACAGAGGUAUAAUAAACAUUGGGUUGGAGGUCGGGCCCCGAGGGACCCUAUCUCAGUAAUGAUCCUUCCGCAGGUUCACCUACGGAAA